GCGGCAGGCCUAACACAUGCAAGUCGAACGGUAACAGGAAGCAGCUUGCUGCUUCGCUGACGAGUGGCGGACGGGUGAGUAAUGUCUGGGAAGCUGCCUGAUGGAGGGGGAUAACUACUGGAAACGGUAGCUAAUACCGCAUAAUGUCGCAAGACCAAAGAGGGGGACCUUCGGGCCUCUUGCCAUCGGAUGUGCCCAGAUGGGAUUAGCUUGUUGGUGGGGUAACGGCUCACCAAGGCGACGAUCCCUAGCUGGUCUGAGAGGAUGACCAGCCACACUGGAACUGAGACACGGUCCAGACUCCUACGGGAGGCAGCAGUGGGGAAUAUUGCACAAUGGGCGCAAGCCUGAUGCAGCCAUGCCGCGUGUAUGAAGAAGGCCUUCGGGUUGUAAAGUACUUUCAGCGGGGAGGAAGGGAGUAAAGUUAAUACCUUUGCUCAUUGACGUUACCCGCAGAAGAAGCACCGGCUAACUCCGUGCCAGCAGCCGCGGUAAUACGGAGGGUGCAAGCGUUAAUCGGAAUUACUGGGCGUAAAGCGCACGCAGGCGGUUUGUUAAGUCAGAUGUGAAAUCCCCGGGCUCAACCUGGGAACUGCAUCUGAUACUGGCAAGCUUGAGUCUCGUAGAGGGGGGUAGAAUUCCAGGUGUAGCGGUGAAAUGCGUAGAGAUCUGGAGGAAUACCGGUGGCGAAGGCGGCCCCCUGGACGAAGACUGACGCUCAGGUGCGAAAGCGUGGGGAGCAAACAGGAUUAGAUACCCUGGUAGUCCACGCCGUAAACGAUGUCGACUUGGAGGUUGUGCCCUUGAGGCGUGGCUUCCGGAGCUAACGCGUUAAGUCGACCGCCUGGGGAGUACGGCCGCAAGGUUAAAACUCAAAUGAAUUGACGGGGGCCCGCACAAGCGGUGGAGCAUGUGGUUUAAUUCGAUGCAACGCGAAGAACCUUACCUGGUCUUGACAUCCACGGAAGUUUUCAGAGAUGAGAAUGUGCCUUCGGGAACCGUGAGACAGGUGCUGCAUGGCUGUCGUCAGCUCGUGUUGUGAAAUGUUGGGUUAAGUCCCGCAACGAGCGCAACCCUUAUCCUUUGUUGCCAGCGGUCCGGCCGGGAACUCAAAGGAGACUGCCAGUGAUAAACUGGAGGAAGGUGGGGAUGACGUCAAGUCAUCAUGGCCCUUACGACCAGGGCUACACACGUGCUACAAUGGCGCAUACAAAGAGAAGCGACCUCGCGAGAGCAAGCGGACCUCAUAAAGUGCGUCGUAGUCCGGAUUGGAGUCUGCAACUCGACUCCAUGAAGUCGGAAUCGCUAGUAAUCGUGGAUCAGAAUGCCACGGUGAACACGUUCCCGGGCCUUGUACACACCGCCCGUCACACCAUGGGAGUGGGUUGCAAAAGAAGUAGGUAGCUUAACCUUCGGGAGGGCGCUUACCACUUUGUGAUUCAUGACUGGGGUGAAGUCGAAACAAGGUA
rnacentral:rRNA from 1 species